rnacentral:rRNA from 1 species
GCUAUGCUGAGCGUACCUCAAAUGCAUGAUUUUUCUGGUUGGUUGCCCCGUGGGCAACUAAAGGGGAUCUCGUGGGUAACCUGCCUGUAGACUGGGAUAACUCCGGGGGAACCGGGGCUAAUACCGGAUGGUUGUUUGAACCGCAUGGUUCAGACAUAAAAGGUGGCUUCGGCUACCACUUACAGAUGGACCCGCGGCGCAUUAGCUAGUUGGUGAGGUAACGGCUCACCAAGGCGACGAUGCGUAGCCGACCUGAGAGGGUGAUCGGCCACACUGGGACUGAGACACGGCCCAGACUCAACGGGAGGCAGCAGUAGGGAAUCUUCCGCAAUGGACGAAAGUCUGACGGAGCAACGCCGCGUGAGUGAUGAAGGUUUUCGGAUCGUAAAGCUCUGUUGUUAGGGAAGAACAAGUGCCGUUCAAAUAGGGCGGCACCUUGACGGUACCUAACCAGAAAGCCACGGCUAACUACGUGCCAGCAGCCGCGGUAAUACGUAGGUGGCAAGCGUUGUCCGGAAUUAUUGGGCGUAAAGGGCUCGCAGGCGGUUUCUUAAGUCUGAUGUGAAAGCCCCCGGCUCAACCGGGGAGGGUCAUUGGAAACUGGGGAACUUGAGUGCAGAAGAGGAGAGUGGAAUUCCACGUGUAGCGGUGAAAUGCGUAGAGAUGUGGGAGGAACACCAGUGGCGAAGGCGACUCUCUGUCUGUUACUGACGCUGAGGGCGAAAGCGUGGGGAGCGACAGAUUAGAUACCUGGUAUUCCACGCCUUAACA